rnacentral:tRNA from 2 species
GCAGUCGUGGCCGAGUGGUUAAGGCGAUGGAUUAGAAAUCUAUUGGGGUCUCCCCGCACAGGUUCGAAUCCUGUUGACUGCG